rnacentral:lncRNA from 1 species
GUCUAUAGCGCAAACGCUCGCGCGUAAUUUGAAUUGUCGUGCACACGCGCAAACCAAAUAAAUAAAUCAAUAAAUAUGCACGAAAGAACUUUCUUUUAUUUUCUGAAGAUUCGCGACCAUUUAGGCCACCUAGGUACUUGUUAGUAAAAGUUGACGUGAACGUUUCCCUAGGCUGCACGGCUAUUCCCGCGCAAGAUAAGAACUGUCAGGCGUGGCUCACCAGUAGGGGAGCUGAGACCUUUGGGUGAGACUUGGUGACCUGGUGCAGAGAACAGAGAUGAAGACUGGAUUUGGAGAGGUUACUUGAUGCUUACAGAGGCUGACCACGAAAAUUGAAGUCUUGCUGAAGAGAGGUGUUGUGGACAGGAUACGUCAGCGGCCACAUUGAGCCCGUCGCAAGAACGUGUGGACCGUUUCCCAGACGUCAACACUCAGGCCUGGUAGUUGGAUGAAAUGUGUUAUUCAAUGCUAACAAAAAAACACUCACUGGUGGCAUUGCUGCAAGCAAAUAGCAAACAUGAGGUGUAGGGCAAUAAGUAAGAAUAAUUUGUUCAGUAAAAAAAAGCUAUUAGAUGCAAACGGUGGUAUGGGCGUAAGGAGGUUACACAGCUUUUAUAUGUCCGAUGGAUUGAGAGAUCUGUUGAGCUGGAUAUGUGGAAGAACUGUUAAGCAAGCCAUGAAAAAAAAAAUCGAAUAGUGGAAGCUUUGUUGUAUAGUGGCCUAUUUGAAAGAUUGGGUGUUAUGAUCGUUUUACUUUAUGUUAGUGAUGCUAGUAGUAUAAAAGUAUUAAUCACAGUAUUUGUACUUCAGGCUCUGAUUGGCAAUAAGGACACUGUGGUAUGGCUUGGAAUGAGCUAUCAUUGCUAUUCUUGUAGUGUUUGUCUGUAAAUGUUGGGUUGUGCGAAUCAAAGUUUUAAUUAGGGUA